AUGACCUUGACAGUCGUCACACACUUGCCAUGAUAUAUCUGCCACGGUAUUUUUAGCUGCGAGCUGUGCACAUUACCGCAUUCCAUAUAAUGAUGUAAUAUUUCUUUGGAAUACAAUAAAUACUUUUGAGUGAUCAGGAGGAAUAUUAGCAGAGGGUGAGUGUACGAGCGGCUAAUGGAGGCAUCAUUAAAGGUAAAACCAGCUCUGGACGACCCUGAAUUUCUUUCCGAUUUCGCGGGAGCAUCGUUCACCCUUUUAUAGAAACAGAAGCAGUCCAAUUACAGGAUUCUAAUUGCGUUACGUAGGUAAAAAGGACUUUAUGCGUCUCGGUGGAGAUUUCAAGUGCAAUAACAUUGCGGGCAACGCUGUAAUCUUCUGUUAUUACUGAAUCAAAACCGAUUCAUUGAUUUUUGCUGACAUCUUUAUGUCCAUGGCAAUAUUCAGUGCCUUUGUGUACAACAUACGCAAAAAAUCUAGUCUACUGCUUAUUACAAAUAAAAUAAAUAAUAGAAGAUAUAUUUUAAAAAUGAUAGAUAUAAUUAAAAAAUGAAGGAUCAUAUACAUAUAUUAAUUCAAACAUUGAUUCAAAGAGCCCAAACUUUGACAUAAUCUAUUACAAACGCAGUCUUAUUGCCAUUGUUUCGUCUCCAACUUGGUAGCCAUUGGUUUCGAGAGUUCCAAAAAUUCAACAUUGCCUACAAUUGAAAACUUUAUAUAGUUAUAAAAAAAUGGCUUAUUUUUUACAAGAUUGUUUACUUUAAGAAUAAAAACUAAAUUAAAUAUAUUAAAUUAUCUAUUAUGUGAAUACAAAAGAUAAAUUAAAUAAUAUUAAAUAUUUAAAUUAAAUAAUACACAAAAGGAAUGUUAGAGUGUC